rnacentral:lncRNA from 1 species
GGAGGCACCACAGCCCUGCCCGGGGCCGCGCCGGCCACCAUGUGAUUAGGUAAUGUGAGACGCGGCUCAUUAUGCUUUGUCUGCAAUGAAUGCGGCCCGGCCACAAAGCGCUGGAACGUUCGGUUACAUUGAAACCCCCGCGGUAAGCGGGGAUUGCCUUACACUCCAAUAAAGCACACCAGAAAAGAGCAGUCAUUCGGACUAACCCAGUCCUCAAUGAACACUCGCGUUUGAUUUCUUCUGCUGAGUAGAAGACGGGUAAGUAAGACACGACCUAUUUACAGGUGGAGGGACCUGUAUCCCCAGACCAGCAUCUCCAGAAGCUUCCUCUGCAAGACACAGAAGACUCCCGGGCAGUCCGGCCUUGCUGGGCAGGGCGGGAGCUAUGCCUGUGCAGAGAUGAGGAGAAGUCAAUGGCUACCAUACAUUGACCUCCUACUACUUGCCAAGAAUUAUGCUAGGUAUGUUUUUCCAUCCCAAACCCUCAAGAUAACUGUAUUAAACCCUAGCUACGUUCUGAGAACAAAAGGAAACAAAAACACCCGCUAAUCUUUAUACAUUUUUCACCGUAAUGAAAGCCUAUCCAUUUGGGCCCCGUAGAUCUGAGUCCAGAAUUUUGGCCUGAGGCCUCCCCCCUGAUCCUCAGGCUUUAAGACCACACAGCACGGGUCAGCAAACCACAAAGGGAAGGCUUACUUUUCUCACCCUGACCCAGACCUCUGAAGCCUUCCUGAUGACGCCUUGGGCAGGGCUCACUCAGCUUGACAAACUUUUACCCGGAACCCUCUGAUCCCAUUUUGAUGAAUGAAGUCAAAACCCCAGUGGGUUCGCUCAUCUGGCUGCUAUAGCACAGCCAGCCAAAGGUAGGUCUUGGCUGCGUUUUCCUGCGAGCUGCUUAGGAACUGGGGGUGUGCUGGGGAGGGGCCGGAAGGGACCCUGGAAUCAGGGAAGAUACGGGCAUGUAUCCUUCUGGCUGGGGCUUCUCCGAUUAGGCCAAGGAUCAGGUGCAUGGAAAGAACAGGCUGGGGAUGAGAUUGGUGAAGAAUUUCCCUUGGUGAGAGAAGAGGGAGGGGUCCACAGGACUGGCGGCUUGGAUCAGAUCCUCCAGUGAUGCCUAGAGUCUGGGGCUUCUGGAGGUCCCAGGUAAGGAGACAGCUCUGCUCCCUGGGGAGGAGUCUAUUAUGUCAAUUGCUGGGAAACACGGUUAGUUGAACUGACUAUUGCCCUGGCAUGUGGGGGGAGGGGGGGGGAGCGGGGGUACUGUUGUUAGGGAAACCAUGGAGAGGAAGGAAACAAAACGCUUUGGAUGGGUGCUGCACUCCCCUGGGUCCGCCUGCUGGGUGUUGAUUGGACAGCCCGCCCAGAAGAGGUUUCACGUUAUGCAGGCAACUGUUGUUGCCCAGAGAGCCCAGGGCUGCCUCGCUCCCUCGGGAGCUGAUGUUUCGGGAACCGUGGAAGCAGCUGGUUUAUGGAAGCGUCGAACAACGUGAGCUGCGGAAUCUGCCAGAUCCCAAACAGCUCUUGCCAAGCACCCUUUCUUCUAGAUUUCGAACUCAUCUGUGUUUCAAAAGCAAUUUUGUUUAAAUGGCUUAUCCCCCCUACUCCCAAUCUGUGGGAAGCUGCCACGCGCAGGCAGGAAAGGGACUCUCCAGGAUCCAUUCGCGACGGCUGCCGUGAGCCAGAACCCGGGGCUGAGGCCGCACAGGAGUCAAGGGCCCGCAUUCCUAGGAGGGGUUGGGGGGGGGGCGCCUUCAAGGGAACACAGAGGGCAGGUGUGUGGCUCCUCAGUCCCCUGGCUUAGGUCUCUAGGCAGAUAAUUUUGCAACUUUCAAUUCCUAACCCAGCCAGCAUUGUUUGUACUUGGGACAAGUCAUUCGAGCCUGGGGACUAGGAACACGUCAUGUAUUAUCUUCACUUCUCUAAGAAAGGUGUGGGGCUUCCCUUGAAUGAAUGAAUGAAUGAAUGGGCUUAUGGUGUCGGCCACUGGCAAAUUCUGUAGCUCCCUGCCCACCCAAGGACUUCUCCAAGGAGCCUCUGGGGGCUCCUUACAGGGAACCCGGUCCUGAGGACACACGUACCAUGUAGCCCUCCAUCACGCCGUCUUGUCCAGACCCUAGGGGUUCUGGAAGAGAGGGGGAAGAAAAACAACGCCUCCAGACAUUGGGCAAACCGCUGGCCUAAUUCAUUCACUAUGGCGACUUUUUCAUCCGUAGGCCCGGCACUGCUUGUGUAGUUGGGUCUGUGAAGGUUCCCUUUCAAGUAGGACAGCUGCUUGGCGUUCUGGGCUCACCAUGUGGAGGGCAGAUGUGACAUCCUCUCGGAACACACUUGUUGGUGGGCAGCAAAGUCGAAAGGCAAACCCCCACGAAACCUGGCUAACUUCUUUUUCUUUUUGACUUUCCAGACCUCAGUACCCAUCUGGAUACUUCAUUAGGGUCCUAAGACAUCUGGGGACCAGCGAUGGAAGAAACGUGCUUGUGUCGGGCGCCUAUCAUACGCCCGCACGGUGCUGAGCCCUUUCCAAUAUGGUAUCUCGGAUAGUCCCCCACCAAAAAAAAAAAAAAAGAAAAGAAAAGAAAACCUGCCAGAGUGGAACUAUCAUUUCCAUUUUAUGAAUGAGGAAACAGGCUCAGAGAGGCUGAGUGACCUACCCAAGGUCACACAGGUGGGAAAUAGCAGUUCCUGAAUUUGAACCAAGAUGAUGACAUUGUCAAGGGGCAGUUUGGGAGGUUUUCAUUGCGGCCCCAUCUCCGGCAGCAACGUCCUUCCCCAUGACAUCCCGCUCCCCCAAAUAAAUACACAGUCUGAGUAAGAAGAAUAUGCAGGGGACACGAUGACACUUUAGGGGUUCCCCUGCCUCCUCCCUUUCACAGAGAUGGCUGCCCCAAGCCCCUCUGCACAGACACCCUGGAGUCCCCACUAAAUCAAGAUCUGUCUGACUCUGAAGGACAGGUCCUCCCAAUACAACCGGAUGUCAGUUCUCUUCGAUGCCUACCAAGAAGACCUUUGCUUUGUUAAAACCUUUACGUACAAGAGCCAGUCAGUCAGCGUAGGAUUCCCCUAACGGAGACCCGAACCACAGAUUCCAGAAUUUCACCAGCCUACCCAAGGUCGCCAGCCCAUGAAAUGCCCCACACCUCUCAGGGAACAGUGAUGCAUCGCAUCCUGGCGGGGAGCACGGGCGUGAAGAAGCACAGCUUAGUGAUGUAGAUCAGAGUUUCCAUUUAUGUUGAAGCAUCUGCUGGCCAAGGUCCAGUUCAUUUUGGGUUCCAGCUAAAUUUAUUCGGCCUCAGGCGCCUGGGUGGCUCAGUCGGUUGAGCGUCUGACUUCAGCUCUGGUCGUGAUCUCCACAGUCCGUGGGUUCCAACCCCGCGUCGGGCUCUGUGCUGACAGCUCGGAGCCC